rnacentral:rRNA from 1 species
AACGAACGCUGGCGGCAUGCCUAACACAUGCAAGUCGAACGAGACCUUCGGGUCUAGUGGCGCACGGCUGCGUAACGCGUGGUAACCUGCCCGUAGGUUCGCAAUCACUCCCCGAAAGGGGUGCUCAUACCAGAUAAUCUCUUCGCACCUAAGAUGUAUCGCCAUUGGAUGGGCCCGCGUUGGAUUCGCUAGUUGGUAGGGUAAUAGCCUCCCAUGGCGACGAUCCAUAGCUGGUCUGAUAGGAGGAUCAGCCACACUGGGACUGAGACACGGACCACACCCGGACGGAGGGCAGGAGUGGGGAAUAUAGUAGACGGGGGGAAGACCUGAUACAGCAGUGCGGCGUAAGUGAUGAAGGGGUUAGGGUUGUAAAGCUCUCUUACCCGGAAUGAGAAUGACAGUAACGGGAGAAGAAGCACCGGCUAACUCCGU